CCGCCCGCCCGGCAGCGCUGAGGGCCAGGGGAAAUGGCAGCCGCGCUGGCCCCGUCCUCCGCCGCCCCCCGCGCCCCUGGGCCCGCGGCUGCCGCCGCCCCCACCGCCGCCCCCGGGCGCUGCCCCCUCGCCGCCGCCGGCCGGAGGCUGCUGCCCCGCCAGCGAGGCCGCGGGAGCCGCGGCGAGGUGCGAGGCCUGCGGCAAGGCCUCGUGCCCGGUCGGGGCCGCGUCCCCCCGGCCCUGCCGCUGAGGGGUGCGGGGGCGAGGGGGCUCCGCGGGUGAGCCCCGGAUGCCCCGCUGGGCCGCGCCCGGCCAGCCGGCCCCUCGGGAGCGGGCACGCACAGCCCCAGAGCCGCCUUGCCAGCUGCCACGGGCGGCCCUUGCAGGGGUCUGCCGGCCGUUGUUUUGCAAACGCUGCGCAGCGUCAUUAACGUUGAGCUGUCAUCCAAAGGCCUCUCGUGGCCACCAUGUUCAGAAAGAAAAGCGGGCAGCUGGAGCGUCAGCAGGAACCUAAGGCGUCCUACCAACACAGGCAGCCAUCAUUCUGUUUUUCAUGGGGACAUGAGCUUUCCAGCACUUUUCUAUGUGAGUUUUGGAGAUCAGUGCACCAGAGAUGUGUUCGGCACCCCAGGAUCAUAAUUAAGGAAGAAACCACAGAGGACAUAUAUAUUCAAAGGAAGUGAUAGCCCAAAGUCCUUCAGGAAGAAGUCCUGCAAGCAGAUGUGCAGGCCACUGAAGACCUAAUGGAGCAGAGAACAUUUUCAGAAGGAACUAAGGGUACAUGUUCUUCAGCUUUUGGAGUGAGAAAGUCUGGAGCAUAGCAGAUGAAAGAAUACUCUUCAGGGAAGAGAAAUCUUCAAAGAAUGGAGGUGUCAGGGAGUCAUUUAGAGAUUGCCUUAGAAAGACAGAUAGUUUUGGUAUCCAAAAGGAGUAUUCAGAUUUCCUUAGUUUCAACCGUAACUGUUUUUUAUAAACAGUGCAGCUAGGUCACGACACCAGCCACCAUACGAUCCUAUUUGUUGGUACACAGUUCUUUGAUCUACAGUUUUCCAUGCUUCAGGCUUGCCUCUGAUUUUUUAACUUCAAUUGCUUUUGAAAAGAAUAAAGUUAUUUUGGGG